rnacentral:rRNA from 1 species
GAUGAACGCUAGCUACAGGCUUAACACAUGCAAGUCGAGGGGCAGCAUUCUUCUAGCAAUAGAAGAGAUGGCGACCGGCGCACGGGUGAGUAACACGUAUCCAACCUACCGAUAACUCCGGAAUAGCCUUUCGAAAGAAAGAUUAAUACCGGAUAGUAUACGAAUAUCGCAUGAUAUUUUUAUUAAAGAAUUUCGGUUAUCGAUGGGGAUGCGUUCCAUUAGUUUGUUGGCGGGGUAACGGCCCACCAAGACUACGAUGGAUAGGGGUUCUGAGAGGAAGGUCCCCCACAUUGGAACUGAGACACGGUCCAAACGCCUACGGGAGGCAGCAGUGAGGAAUAUUGGUCAAUGGGCGCGAGCCUGAACCAGCCAAGUAGCGUGAAGGAUGAAGGCUCUAUGGGUCGUAAACUUCUUUUAUAUGGGAAUAAAGUUUUCCACGUGUGGAAUUUUGUAUGUACCAUAUGAAUAAGGAUCGGCUAACUCCGUGCCAGCAGCCGCCGUAA